GCCUGGGUGGCUCAGUCGGUUAAGCGUCUGACUUCGGCUCAGGUCAUGAUCUCGGGUUCGUGAGUUCGAGCCCCGCAUUGGGCU
rfam:Felis catus isolate Cinnamon breed Abyssinian chromosome C1, whole genome shotgun sequence.